AUUAUGGGGCAUGGCUUCUUCUUGGGUCUCUUCUCUUCUGAGCUACUCACCGGUCUCGCAGGAAGAAACACUCCAGUGCCACGUGGCUUAACUCGCCCUGUGCUGGCAUCAUCACUACUUGGCUUCUUUAUGGAACCAUAGUGGUUCAAGGCAUGCCACAUCCUUGGCUUUCGAUCAUGAAUAAAAACCUGUGGAUAUGGACCGAUGCAAUCAAGAAAGACCUCGUUGAAGAGGUUUGAAGGUAAGAGAAACAAUACUUCCUCCGCACGCAACACAACCUCUCCUUUACAAGACAUGUUGGGUUUUUUUUUGGGGAUACAAUAUUUUCAAAGACUACUACAAAACUCCAUCCAGUCUCUUUCUAUAUAUAUCUUACGUAGCCCAGGAUUCAAGGUAAUCCUAAUGAGGGUCGGGUCGAGUUAGUUGAACCUCUCUCAUUGUGGAGUGGUGGUGGUUGGUGCAUAAGUAUGCAUGUGGCUUCUCUGUGGUAUAGUUCGGCUUAAACCAUAA